CCGAAACAAAAUGAGCUUCCUCAUACGUUGCACCCCCUACUAUAACCACAAUAAUGUCUUGAGGCUUUUCAUUAGACGUUUGAGCUCUUGUUUCAGAGUUCAGAAAAGGGUGUGUGGUUUCCUUGAGUCUUCCUUGAAUCAGGUCCAACAGAAUUGAUUUCAAAAAAGGAUUAUGCUGAAUGUACACAUUUUCAACACCUCUUAAACCCUUUAAACCACUACGGGCACGCGAAAAAAGGUUGGAUGGUGGAAAUACAUCACCUUGGCGAAAUGAAUAUCCAGCCACAUGCAAUAAAGUAGGAAUGACAGAAACUUUCAGUGGAUUGACACCUCCAGCUAUGAGCAUUUGUUGGAGUGCCGAAACCUUAGCAGGAUCGAUUCUUUCAAAACGAAGGGAGUAUAAUGCCGCAAGACGUAACUUCGUAUUUUCAGAUAUAUUUGAAAACAAGAGUCGUUGUAUAUCAUUGAAAUCGGUGGAUUGAGGUUCAUUACAUACCAGAGAUUGUUCAACUUCACCAACUUCUAACAAGUUCUCUCGCUGAACCACCUGCGAAAUUUCGCUUACGAGAGAAACAUGUUUACUUACGUU